ACCUCUCCUCCUCUUCUCUCUCCUUCUCUCGACUCUUCCUGAAAACCAGAGAAACCGACGUCGACCUUUGACGCCGUCCUUGCCAUCCGGCCACCGUUUGGGUUGCAUGUGCACCAAAUUGAUUUCCUCUCAUCAUCACCGGCACGCUGGGGGUGGUAGUUCAAAUCAAUCAAUGUCUAGGGAACUGGAUAAUAUUGGAGGCUCAAGGGAAGAAUCGGUCCGGCAGAUUUGCUUUUAGUUGAGUUUGAUAAUUAUCGGAGUGAAUUUACAGGGAAGCAAGCAAUCAAGUAUUUGGGGUUGAGUCUCAGUUCUACUUUGAAAAAGUUGGUAAUGAGAUGAAGGAAGAAAGUAAAAUGGGAGGCUACCCUGUCCACUAUCAUUAAGGGGAGCUCAUGGAGUACUACUGUAUUCUUUGUUGGGUGCAGAGAUCAAUUCCGGCGACGAAGUCAAGUUCCAAAGAAUCAAGGAAGAGUAAAGCAGAGAAAGCUUUCAGUUGCUGCCGAGCCUCACUAUGAAAUGCAGAGAACAAGGCUUAGAGUUGGGCCAUGGUGGAAUUUGAUCAUUAAGGUGAGUUAGGAAUCUGAUUUCAGUUGAUAAUUGGUAUUGUGAUUCAGUGGAUUUGAUUGACUUAGUCUCAGACUUUGAGUAUAGCAAGUUUGUCUUCAGUGUUGUAAAAGUGAGCACGUAAGCACCUUAAUUAGUUGGUAAUUGUUAUGAGCUAGAACUCUUAUCAUAAUUGGAAGCAAGUGCACUGUUUGUUAGCAAAUAAGUGAGGGUUUUGCUGCAAUUAAAUUAGACUUUGCAA